rnacentral:rRNA from 1 species
UUUAAAAAGUGCGUAACAGCUUACUCGUCAAGGGUGCGGGUGCUGAAAAUGGACGGGGCUAAAUCAGCAACCGAUACUGCAGUCCACCGCAAGGUGUGAGGUAGGCAGGCGUCGUGCAUGGGCGAAAGCGCGCUCGCGAGUGUGCGUGAACCGUGCACGAAUGAGGAUCCUGGUAAGAGUAAGAACAGAGCGGAGUGAGACUCUCCGUCGCCGAAAGGGCAAGGGUUCCUUCCCAAUGAAGGUCAGGGAAGGGUUAGUCGGUCCUAAGCGAGCUCCUAGUUGGAGUGUGUUCGCGAAAGGGAAACCGGUCAAUAUUCCGGUACUUGCAAUGUAUACGCGGCAACGCAAGCCAUGUUUCUGACGUUUCGGGCUAGCCGGACACAAGCUGCCAAGUGUGUCAACAGUGGAGAGGUCGUGGGAGUACCGUCAUGGUGAGAACACGAGCAAUCCCCGGACGAGCGGAUUUGUAAAUCCGUUCCGGUCAUGCCUGGAACCCGUGAAAAGGGAACGUGGAAAGAUCAUCGCAAUCCGUACCAAGAACCAGCACAGGUGCCCCUAGGUGAGAAGCCUAAGGCGAGUAGGGAGAAUCCGGUUAAGGGAACUCGGCAUAUUAGCCCCGUGCCUUCGGCAUAAGGGGUCCCUAUUUUCGUACUCGUAUGGGUGCGUUUGUAGGGCGCAGUGACUCGGGAGGUCCGACUGUUUAACAAAAACGUAACCAACUGCUAGCCUGGAAAGGUGCGUAUAGUUGGUGACGUCUGCCCAGUGUCAGUACCUAAAACUCCUUUUCAAGGGAGCUAAGGGCUGGUAAACGGCGGGAGUAACUAUAACUCUCUUAAGGUAGCGAAAUGCCUUGCCGUUUGAUUGACGGCCUGCAUGAAUGGCGCAACGAGAUCUCCACUGUCCCUAACCGGAACCCUCCGAAUAUUCUGUACUGGUGCACAGGCCAGUGACGCCCAGUGGGAAGCGAAGACCCCGUGAAACUUUACUGUAGCCUGUUGCUGUGACGUGGAUCGCGUUGUAUAGCGUAGGUAGGAGUCGUUCCAGGCACGGACGCCAGUUCGUGUUUAGACACCAAUGUAACACUACCCUCCGUGGUUUACGCCACUCACCGUGAGAACGGGACACCAGCAGGUGGACAGUUUGGCUGGGGUGGCACGCCGUUGAAACAAUAUCAAUGGCGCCCAAAGGUCGGCUCAACCCGGUCAGAAAUCGGGUGUAGAGUGCAAGGGCAUAAGCCGGCCUAACUGGGAUUCAAACGUGACGAUUCUCAGUAGCGAAAGCUCGGCCUAGCGAUCCAUUAGUGCUCCUUGUUGGGGCCUAGUGUUGACCGAAAAGUUACUCCGGGGAUAACAGAGUUGUCGCGCCCGAGAGCUCCUAUCGACGGCGCGGCUUGCUACAUCGAUGUCGGCUCUUCCUAUCCUGGCCGUGCAGAAGCGGCCAAGGGUGGGGGUGUUCACCCAUUAAAAGGGAUCGUGAGCUGGGUUCAGUACGCUGUGAGGCAGUAUGUUUGAUAUCUACUGGGCGUGUUACAUGUCUGAGGGGAAGGAUCGCUUAGUACGAGAGGAACGGCGAAUCGACGCCUCUGGUCGACGGGUUAUCCGGCAGGGUAUGCCCGGCAGCUACGCGUUACGGGGAUAAGCGCUGAAAGCAUCUAAGCGCGAAGCCCUCCUCGAAAAGAGACAUGAGGACUCCCGCACAAGACGGGGUUGAUGGGACAGGGGUGUACGCACCAAGCUUCGGCGAGGUGUUCAGCCCGCUGUUACCAAUCGUCCGUACCUACAGUCC